CUUCAAGUACAUAUGCCUUGGUGAAUGAGUGUUUGAUUAGCUCAUAAAAAGUUGUUAUGGCUUUGUUCGCUACAAUGGUUGAUUAGGGGAGAAGUUUUCAAAGAUAGUAGGGAGUCUAUACUAUAUGGCCCCAAAGGUUUUGAAGCGGAAUUAUGUUUUGUGGGGUUCCUCCAUUUUGAGCAGGUUAAAUUUCUUCAAGAAAGACAUGCUAAUGUUGUCAUCCGUGAUGAACGUGACCUUAAUGUCAUCUAGGGUUCGAGAGGCAAAGGAAAAGGAAAUUGCCACCGUUUCGGGUAAGGGAAAGGAAAAUGCAUGUUCAGUACUAUGGCUCUUCAACAUUUUCAUUUUAAGUUCUUUCUUUGAAAUAUUUGUUUUGGAGCAUGAACCUCGAUCGUUUUUUGUUUUUUGACAUAUUACUUGCACAGUGCCAUAUACUAUAAAAUUGACAUACUACUUGCACAAUGCCAUGUAAAUUUGUGAAAUGUUUUUUUGUAAAAUUUCCUAUCAAUGUGAAUUUUAUUACUUACAAUUGUUUUGUAAAGCUUUUUAUCUACAUGAAAUUUAUAACUA